rnacentral:rRNA from 1 species
CUACACUUGACAUGCCUCUUGGGACUUUCAGAGAUGAUUGUUUUCGGUUCGGCCGGGGAGUGCACAGGUGCUGCAUGGCUGUCGUCAGCUCGUGUCGUGAGAUGUUGGGUUAAGUCCCGCAACGAGCGCAACCCUUAUCGUAUGUUGCCAGCAUUUAGUUGGGCACUCAUGCGAGACUGCCGGUGAUAAGCCGGAGGAAGGCGGGGACGACGUCAAGUCAUCAUGGCCCUUACGUGUAGGGCUACAAACGUGCUACAAUGGUGGUGACAAUGGGCAGCGAGGUCGUGAGGCCAAGCUAAUCCCUAAAAGCCAUCUCAGUUCAGAUUGUACUCUG